GGACAGAUUCCAGAGCGGCCAAAUGGAUCAGACUGUAAAUCUGACGUCUCAGACUUCGGUGGUUCGAAUCCACCUCUGUCCACCA
rnacentral:tRNA from 1 species